GCGAACGUGGCGGAAUAGGCAGACGCGCUAGAUUUAGGUUCUAGUUCCCGAGAGGGAGUGGGGGUUCGACUCCCCCCGUUCGCACCA
rnacentral:tRNA from 1 species